UGUGAUAAUAUUAAAACGCUGAGCAGGAGUGCUUUAUCAGAUGUGCGAUUUCUUUCUUCUGGUGGACGUGAAUAUAUGCUUCGAGUGGAUUGAGUUAUGAAUGUUGAGAUGAGGGCACAUCCACUUCAUUGUCUACUCAGAACAUUCAUAGCGCAUAUACUCGUUCACAUACAUCUGGGGCCGGUUGUUCAAAAGCCGAUUAGCUUAACCCUAGGUUAACUUAAAAUUCAAAGUACACUUCCUAACAGCUUGUUUAUAAAUUUGGAAAUAUUUCUUCACAAAUCAUGUCUGGAUCAAUAGGAGUUUUCUCUUCUGACUUUUUGAAAUAAAUGGACAUGCAGAAAUAUGCAAACUAAAACAGUGGGUUAAAUUUUAACCCUGGGUUAGCGCUAAUCCACUUUUGAACAACCGGCCCCAGAAGAAGAAAAUAAAAUGUCGAAUGCUCUCUCAAACCAAGACAAUUCUUGUGUAAAGAAUCCGUCACCGCUCUGCCGAGAUGCGUGAUUUUCUCGUAUAGUACCUCUAUUUGAUUGCUAUUUAAUAGCUUAAUGCCUGUUACAUGCCUAACGCGUCAUUUCAAACAUGAAAAAGAUGCCUUCUGAUCCGCUUUCGCUGAUAACAUGAUUAGAUGUGAAGUUUUCUAAUCUGAUAUCUUGAUCUAAUUGUAUUCUCCAAAAUAUUCAAGAAAAACAUUGUGCUCAUUAGCAUCAUGACCAUUUCAAAAUUACAACUACAUAAGUCUACAUUCGUUUUAAGCAGGAUUGUGU